rnacentral:rRNA from 1 species
AUUGAACGCUGGCGGCAGGCCUAACACAUGCAAGUCGAGCGAGCGGCGGACGGGUGAGUAAUGUAUGGGGACUGCCCGAUAGCGGGGGAUAACUACUGGAAACGGUGGCUAAUACCGCAUACUAUCGGAUAACCCAUAUGGGAUUAGCUAGUAGGUGGGUUAAAGGCUCACCUGGGCGACGAUCUCUAGCUGGUCUGAGAGGAUGAUAGGCCAAUUGGGAACUGAGACAAGGCCAAGACUCCUACGGGGGCAGAAGUGGGGAUUAUUCGACAAUGGGCGAAAGCUUGAUGCAGACAUGCCGCUGGUAGGAGGAAGGCCUUAGGUUUUUAAAGUACUUUCAGCGGGGAGGCGUUACCCGAAGAGGAAGCCACGGCUAACUACGUGCCAGCAGCCGCGGUAAUUC